UUCUCCGUGACACCUCCUCAGAGUGACAUGGGGACAGGGUCCACAUUGUGAAGUCACCAGACCUGGCUUCAAAUCCCUUUAGAUACACAGCCUGGUGCAGAGGUGAUCAAAGUAUACAAGGCCUGCAGGCCAAAUCCAACCCACUGCCUGAUUUUGUAAAUACAGGCUUUUUUUAGAACCUGCAGCUGCCCUAAUUCAUUGAUGAAUUGUCUAUGGUGCUUUUGCAUUACAAUAGCAGAGGCCCUCUCAGAGCCUUUAAGAAGCCAGUAAGGAAAUCCAGCUGCAUUUCCCUGGAAACCUGUUGUCAUGGAGUGUCCCCAAUGCUGGGAUGCAUGUACCUGAGGGCACAUGAAGACUUCUCAAGGGAUACAGUCAGCAGUGUUCGUGGAGCCCCUACACUGUCCCAGACACGAUCCUAGAAGCAGGAAAUACAGCAAGGAACAAGACAGGCAACCAGGGAGGAAGUCUCUCCUCUGCGACACGUGAAAAGUCCAGCUGAUGUCCAUUUUCCCCUGUGCAAGUCAUUAGCACACAGAGCCACCAAUGUCAAGUCCUUCCACUGACCACACACCAGAUCAUCAAGUAAAUCUUUUGCAAGGCCUGCUACAGCAACAAAGGAAGGGAGAAAUAUACUGGCAGGGUGAUGGCGCAGCAUCCCAGAUGCUACAAACAGCGGGAGUAAAUGGAACGCGACAUUUCUUCCCCAGCACUGGGCGGAGGAGGCUAUUAGUAAAUUGACUAAGAGCUCA